ACGGGACUCAAGCCUCUGACCCCCUGACCACUAACAACGGGACUCAAGCCUCUGACCCUUUGGCCUCUAACAACGUGACUCAAGCCUCUGACAACCACAAACUGGCCUCCGACAUCUCUGAGAAGCCUGCUUCGAGUCAAAGCAACAACUCCAUGAUGCCCAUUCAUCACAAUCAAAAUGUUUCACAAACAUCGCUAAGCAAAGGUUGCAGGAAACACUAUAAGGCCGUUGGACUACAAUUGCUUCAGGCAAUCUCAAAUUACAAGGAUGUUAAAGAAGUAAGCCGAGAGUCGGAUCAGGUGAACGCCGAGGCAUCAUCAGGAACUGACCCCAAAGCAGUCGGGGCUGCUUUGGAUGCCAACGAUUUAGCCGCUCUGAAUAAUGUUUUAACUGGACAACAGCAUAAUGGACAAGAAACUGACUAUAACGAAUGUAUGCCUUGAUAAUAAAAACUUUUAAUUGAUACUGUACAAUGUUUUUAUUUGAGGGGUGGUUUGUAAAUCUGGACCAAGCAAUCUGUACUUGAUGCACUUAUUUCCCAUUUGACUGGUUGUGUGGGCAGAACCUGGGAGUUGUGACUUGGGACAAGCCCCUUCACUGUCUCAAGUCCCAUCUUAAAACUCACCUUUACUCUGGCUUUUAACUCCAGGUAGCGUGUUGAUGUGUUAUGUAGAUGUAUUAUGUGGGCAGUGGAUCUUAUUUAUUGGAUUCUAUUUGGGUAUCUUUUAUGCUAUUGAGCCUCUCAUCUUUUAUUGUGCUUCUGUGGUGUCAUCUUGUUGUACAGCACUUUUAAAUAGUGAUAUGUAAAGUGGAAGUAGGCAGCGCUGUGAUCUUCAGUAAUGGCAUUUGUGUGGGGGGGAACUACUUGACAAAUGUGGUACUUGUACUAUUGUAUGCUUAAAUUGAAGAUUUCCCUGUAAUGAAAUGGAAUCAUUCUAGCUCCUGCCAAGGCUAAUCUUCCCUUGGUUUGAAGCCUGCACUUGGGAGUAAAAUCGAAUUUUCUCUCCAAGACAAAACCGCGACCAAGCGACGGUAAAGGCAUGCUUCUUGCUCUAGUGAUCAUUUCCAUAAUGUUUGAAUAGGCCUACCUUCAAGACGGUGGACUUCUACAGGAAGCACCAGGACUCCAUGACCCCAGCCGGUCUGGGCUUCUUCCAGAGCCAGUGGGACGAGUCGGUCACCAACACCUUCCACAACACGCUUGACAUGAAGGAGCCGGUGUUUGAGUUCGUGCGGCCCCCCGUGUACCACCCGCCGCGGGUCAAGUUCCCCCACAGGCAGCCGCUCCGCUACCUGGACCGCUACCGUGAGGGCAAGGAGCACACCUACGGCAUCUACUGAGCCCCACAGACGCACACAUCUGGAGCUACCGCUGGACGACAUGUUAAUAUAAUAAAUUGUUUUUUUUGUA